AUGAGAGAAAAAGAGAGAAGGGGCAAUGUUACUAUCCUUUUUUCCACACUUGUGCUUCAAAGUAGCACCAUGAUCUUCAUGAUAGAGAGUCUCUUAUUUUGUCACUUUCAUAUACUAGUGGGAAUUUUUCAAUAUAGAACUUGGCUUGUAUAUUCCAAGGAUGGGCUUCCUCAAAAUGCCCUAGGUCUUCGUGAGCAAGCAAGUUGGAUGCACACCCAUUUAGUUUCUUUUGUUGAGCUUCCAUACAUUUAUAGCUCUAGUGCAUCCGUUGCAUGGCAAUCCCUACUCCUCGCAUUGACUUCAAUUGAUGGGCAUCUCCAUACCCUGUUGAUUAGCCACGUCGAUGUGAGACUUUCUCCCUUUUUGUCUUCUCCACACAACCUCCAUCAUCAUAUUCUAUUCCACCUAUAG
rnacentral:rRNA from 1 species